CAAGGGCGAUUUACUGCAGUCGAGAAAAAUUCUUCAAAGGACUGAUCGGUGAUUAUGGAAAGGAUUUUUCUCUCGAAUGGAUUACGAAAAAUUUUCACAGAUGGUGGAUUCGGUAUUCGUGAAGCUGCAGGUAAUUUAAAUGAAUACACAUCUACGUCAAUAAAAAUCGCGCGAAGAAAACGUGAUCCAGAAAUCUCAUCGUUCAAUCUUCGUAAUCUCCUUCAUCUUUACUCUGGUACAUGCAAACGCAACAAGAAGGUAUUAGGAAGUCGUCGAAAUACGCGUCACCGGUUAAUGGCUCCAAUGCUACCAGUCUCUUCAUCAUGAACUUCUGCACACAACGCACCGUUACCGAAGGUGGCAGAUACGAUGCGAACGCACACUCGUCAUUGGGCUUAGGCCUAUAACAAUAAUCGAUAAAUUUAUUUAGAUAAUAACGCUGUAAAAUAAUUAAUUAUCGUAUUUUAAAAUUAUUAUCGUAGGUAGGAGAUUCGCAUACAAACAGGCUUCUGUACGUAUCCCACGUUGUGUAUCGGGUGUAUCUCCUUGAAUGAUGUAACGUAAAUCUAAAUCUUUAUUGCGAGCUAUUUUUGGAACUUGUAUAGUCUCCUGCGAUAAGUACCAUAAGCAUUAUCGAUGGAAAUUUUAAUGUUACUUGUUAGCCAUUUACUAGUAGUGUUUUACGAUGCGGUUUUCCAUUUCCGUCACCAAAAGCGCGUAGGACUGUACUUGUACUUACCACAAAUUUGCAGAAUUGAUGUUCGUUGAUUUCGUUCGACUUGAUGUUUGUCUUCAGAUCUGAUGAGGAUAGCUGAAAAAAAAAAUUAUGCGAUAUUAACUCUGGGAAUAAUGUAUUUUCAUUCAUCGAAUUAAAUUGUUAAUUAAUAAUUUAAAUUAAAAUAACAAAAUAUAUUGUCGUCAGCCAUCCUUGUACUAAUUUUCAGUAAUCAGAAAAAAAAACGCUGAACUUUCAAGUUUUUUUUUUUCGCAAUGCGAGCAAAACACAGGCUAAGCUAAGUAAAUGAAUUGUACUGUAACAACACUGUCAAUUAUAACUUUUACACGUUGUG